rnacentral:rRNA from 1 species
UACGGAGGGAGCUAGCGUUGUUCGGAGUUACUGGGCGUAAAGGGUGUGUAGGCGGUUGUUUAAGUUUGGUGUGAAAUCUCCCGGCUCAACUGGGAGGGUGCGCCGAAUACUGAAUGACUUGGAGUGCGGGAGAGGUGAGUGGAAUUCCUGGUGUAGCGGUGAAAUGCGUAGAUAUCAGGAGGAACACCGGUGGUGUAGACGGCUCACUGGACCGUAACUGACGCUGAGACACGAAAGCGUGGGUAGCAAACAGG